rnacentral:rRNA from 1 species
AAAAAGAACCUGAAACCGUGUACGUACAAGCAGUGGGAGCACCCUGUGUGACUGCGUACCUUUUGUAUAAUGGGUCAGCGACUUAUAUUCUGUAGCAAGGUUAACCGUAUAGGGGAGCCGGAGGGAAACCGAGUCUUAACCGGGCGUUAAGUUGCAGGGUAUAGACCCGAAACCCGGUGAUCUAGCCAUGGGCAGGUUGAAGGUUGGGUAACACUAACUGGAGGACCGAACCGACUAAUGUUGAAAAA